ACCAGACUCCUACGGGAGGCAGCAGUGGGGGAUAUUGCACAAUGGGGGGAACCCUGAUGCAGCGACGCCGCGUGGGUGAAGGAGUAUUUCGGUAUGUAAAGCCCUAUCGGCAGGGAAGAAGCAAGACGGUACCUGACUAAGAAGCCCCGGCUAACUACGUGCCAGCAGCCGCGGUAAUACGUAGGGGGCGAGCGUUAUCCGGAUUCACUGGGUGUAAAGGGAGCGUAGACGGCCAUGCAAGCCAGGGGUGAAAGCCCGGGGCCCAACCCCGGGACUGCCCUUGGAACUGCAUGGCUGGAGUGCGGGAGGGGCAGGCGGAAUUCCUGGUGUAGCGGUGAAAUGCGUAGAUAUCAGGAGGAACACCGGCGGCGAAGGCGGCCUGCUGGACCGCAACUGACGUUGAGGCCCGAAAGCGUGGGGAGCAAACAGGAUUAGAUACCCGAGUAC
rnacentral:rRNA from 1 species